CACACGACUCUCGGCAACGGAUAUCUCGGCUCUCGCAUCGAUGAAGAACGUAGCGAAAUGCGAUACCUGGUGUGAAUUGCAGAAUCCCGCGAACCAUCGAGUCUUUGAACGCAAGUUGCGCCCGAGGCCACUUGGCCGAGGGCACGCCUGCCUGGGCGUCACGU
rnacentral:rRNA from 2 species